UACGGGGGGGCAAGCGUUGUUCGGAAUUACUGGGCGUAAAGGGCCAGUAGGCGGCCAACUAAGUCGGAUGUGAAAUCCCCGGGCUCAACCUGGGAAACUGCAUUUGUGACUGCAUGGCUAGAGUACGGUAGAGGGGGAUGGAAUUCCGCGUGUAGCAGUGAAAUGCGUAGAUAUGCGGAGGAACACCGAUGCGAAGGCAAUCCCCUGGACCUGUACUGACGCUCAUGCACGAAAGCGUGGGGAGCAAACAGG
rnacentral:rRNA from 1 species